UACAUGGGGUGCAAACGUUGCUCGGAAUCAUUGGGCGUAAAGCGCGCGUAGGCGGUUACUUAAGUCGAAUGUGAAAGCCCUCGGCUUAACCGAGGAAGUGCAUCCGAAACUGAGUAGCUAGAGUACGAAAGAGGGUCGUGGAAUUCCCGGUGUAGCGGUGAAAUGCGCAGAUAUCGGGAGGAACACCUAUUGCGAAGGCAGCUCGCUGGGACGUUACUGACGCUGAGACGCGAAAGCGUGGGGAGCAAACAGG
rnacentral:rRNA from 1 species